GGGGACGCGUGGAUUCGACAGGAGGCUCUUGUACUGGAUUGCAAGUCGAGGACCAUCUACCUCGUAAAAAGAUGGAAAAACUUAAACGGCAACUCACAAGAAGUAGCCCUAGCUGCUUAAAUAGCAGCUACGUUCAUCUGUCCCUCUCCUCGAAGGGAUAGAAUGAGCGCCGUAAAUCGAGGCGCUGUUUAGUUGGUGUCAAUACUGCUGAACAUAAGAUUUUAUUGACUGGCUUUCACGUACAACUUUGCUGGUAGGUGUAGUGAAAGCGAGAUUGAAAUCCAGAUAAGCUUGUAGCAUAUCUUGAUACAAGACCUUUUGGACGGGGAGUUCGACUCUCCCCCGUCUCCACCA
rnacentral:tmRNA from 1 species